UUUAUUCAAGUCAAUAAACAAUGAGUCCAUCUAAGCUAGCAACGAGAGAAUUUUUACAGCAAAUGGCUGCAAAUGUGUUUCCAGCCAUAGAGGUUUUAAGAUAGGCAUCGAAUAGAGCAUCAUA